UACGUAGGGGGCAAGCGUUGUCCAGAAUCAUUGGGCGUAAAGAGCGUGUAGGCGGCCCGAUAAGUCCGCCGUGAAAGUCCAGGGCUCAACCCUGGAAUGCCGGUGGAAACUGUCGGGCUGGAGUCCGGAAGAGGCGAGUGGAAUUCCUGGUGUAGCGGUGAAAUGCGCAGAUAUCAGGAGGAACACCAAUGGCGAAGGCAGCUCGCUGGGACGGUACUGACGCUGAGACGCGAAAGCGUGGGGAGCAAACAGG
rnacentral:rRNA from 1 species